rnacentral:rRNA from 1 species
UACAGAGGGUGCGAGCGUUGUCCGGAAUCACUGGGCGUAAAGGGCGCGUAGGCGGCCUGGUAAGUAGGGGGUGAAAUCCUGCGGCUCAACCGCAGGGCUGCCUUCUAAACUGUCAGGCUGGAGCACGGUAGAGGCAGAUGGAAUUCCCGGUGUAGCGGUGGAAUGCGUAGAGAUCGGGAAGAACACCAGUGGCGAAGGCGGUCUGCUGGGCCGUUGCUGACGCUGAGGCGCGAUAGCGUGGGGAGCAAACAGG